AUAAUGGGUCAGCGACUUAUAUUCUGUAGCAAGGUUAACCGAAUAGGGGAGCCGAAGGGAAACCGAGUCUUAACUGGGCGUUAAGUUGCAGGGUAUAGACCCGAAACCCGGUGAUCUAGCCAUGGGCAGGUUGAAGGUUGGGUAACACUAACUGGAGGACCGAACCGACUAAUGUUGAAAAAUUAGCGGAUGACUUGUGGCUGGGGGUGAAAGGCCAAUCAAACCGGGAGAUAGCUGGUUCUCCCCGAAAGCUAUUUAGGUAGCGCCUCGUGAAUUCAUCUCCGGGGGUAGAGCACUGUUUCGGCAAGGGGGUCAUCCCGACUUACCAACCCGAUGCAAACUGCGAAUACCGGAGAAUGUUAUCACGGGAGACACACGGCGGGUGCUAACGUCCGUCGUGAAGAGGGAAACAACCCAGACCGCCAGCUAAGGUCCCAAAGUCAUGGUUAAGUGGGAAACGAUGUGGGAAGGCCCAGACAGCCAGGAUGUUGGCUUAGAAGCAGCCAUCAUUUAAAGAAAGCGUAAUAGCUCACUGGUCGAGUCGGCCUGCGCGGAAGAUGUAACGGGGCUAAACCAUGCACCGAAGCUGCGGCAGCGACGCUGAUGCGUUGUUGGGUAGGGGAGCGUUCUGUAAGCCUGUGAAGGUGUGCUGUGAGGCAUGCUGGAGGUAUCAGAAGUGCGAAUGCUGACAUAAGUAACGAUAAAGCGGGUGAAAAGCCCGCUCGCCGGAAGACCAAGGGUUCCUGUCCAACGUUAAUCGGGGCAGGGUGAGUCGACCCCUAAGGCGAGGCCGAAAGGCGUAGUCGAUGGGAAACAGGUUAAUAUUCCUGUACUUGGUGUUACUGCGAAGGGGGGACGGAGAAGGCUAUGUUGGCCGGGCGACGGUUGUCCCGGUUUAAGCGUGUAGGCUGGUUUUCCAGGCAAAUCCGGAAAAUCAAGGCUGAGGCGUGAUGACGAGGCACUACGGUGCUGAAGCAACAAAUGCCCUGCUUCCAGGAAAAGCCUCUAAGCAUCAGGUAACAUCAAAUCGUACCCCAAACCGACACAGGUGGUCAGGUAGAGAAUACCAAGGCGCUUGAGAGAACUCGGGUGAAGGAACUAGGCAAAAUGGUGCCGUAACUUCGGGAGAAGGCACGCUGAUAUGUAGGUGAAGUCCCUCGCGGAUGGAGCUGAAAUCAGUCGAAGAUACCAGCUGGCUGCAACUGUUUAUUAAAAACACAGCACUGUGCAAACACGAAAGUGGACGUAUACGGUGUGACGCCUGCCCGGUGCCGGAAGGUUAAUUGAUGGGGUCAGCGCAAGCGAAGCUCUUGAUCGAAGCCCCGGUAAACGGCGGCCGUAACUAUAACGGUCCUAAGGUAGCGAAAUUCCUUGUCGGGUAAGUUCCGACCUGCACGAAUGGCGUAAUGAUGGCCAGGCUGUCUCCACCCGAGACUCAGUGAAAUUGAACUCGCUGUGAAGAUGCAGUGUACCCGCGGCAAGACGGAAAGACCCCGUGAACCUUUACUAUAGCUUGACACUGAACAUUGAGCCUUGAUGUGUAGGAUAGGUGGGAGGCUUUGAAGUGUGGACGCCAGUCUGCAUGGAGCCGGCCUUGAAAUACCACCCUUUAAUGUUUGAUGUUCUAACGUUGACCCGUGAUCCGGGUUGCGGACAGUGUCUGGUGGGUAGUUUGACUGGGGCGGUCUCCUCCUAAAGAGUAACGGAGGAGCACGAAGGUUGGCUAAUCCUGGUCGGACAUCAGGAGGUUAGUGCAAUGGCAUAAGCCAGCUUGACUGCGAGCGUGACGGCGCGAGCAGGUGCGAAAGCAGGUCAUAGUGAUCCGGUGGUUCUGAAUGGAAGGGCCAUCGCUCAACGGAUAAAAGGUACU
rnacentral:rRNA from 1 species